GUCAAGAAUAUCACAAAAAUAUGUCACAAUCAAGAUCUUUAACGAGAGUCCUCCAAUCAGGAGGCGUCUGUGACAGCCGCUGUUUUCUCAUAGAACAGAAUCCACACCCGGGACUCAACCCAAAUUAUUUCUCAUCAGGGGGGACUUGUCCCCAUCUCCGUGUCCCUGGGGGAGGGCAGCCAUUUCCGAGUGUCUCUUCAGGGACAGCAGAUCCACUGGACAAGGGUCCGAAAAUGGUUUCAGCACCUGUGUCAGGAAUUGCUUAAUUCUGAAAGUCUCAUGAGAAGACAUGGCAAGAAGUGGAGUCAAGCCACGAUGGCAGAGAAAGGAAGAGCGGUGGGUGGCUACUCCAUAGAUUUCUGAGACUGGCCUUCUUUCCUAUGAAGCUUUACUCUCUACACUCACAGUCAGUGAGUGACAAGUGGUAUAUCUGGGUCAUUCCUGGGCAUGAAUGAAUAGAGAACAAACAAAUCCCUUUUCUGGGUAAGAACGAUAACAGCUCCCAUCUGAAUGUUGUGUAACAGUUUAUAAAACAUCUUCAGGUCCAAGGUCUCACUGAAUCUUCACUGCAAACCUGUGAAGCAGGUAAGGAUAUUUCUAUCAUCGAACAGAUAAGGAACUGGAGACUCAGAGAAGUCAAGAAACUGGCCCAGGGUCACACAGCUCAGAAGUGGAAAGUGAAGGCUGGAAUUGGGGUUUGUGGUGCUUCAUCUGUGAGCUUUCAAUUUCAGCCAUCAUGGGUUGUAGCUUCUCUGCUCCAUGUUUGAUCUUUGCUCCACGUGGG
rnacentral:lncRNA from 1 species